CAGCUUUUCGAGGAUCAUGCACCAGACAGUGAAAGAGCUGGCCCCUAAGUGCAACGUCAAUUUCCUUCUGUCUGAGGACGGGAGUGGAAAGGGGGCCGCCCUCAUCACUGCCGUGGGCUGCCGCUUGCGUGCAGAAGAGCAGAAGAAGAGCUGAGUCUGUUUGGCCUUCCCGUUUCCCCUCGUCUCCUCGCCCUCUCCUCAUGGCAGCGUUCCAUUCUAGCCACAACACUGCUGCACAGGAUUCGGUGACACCUCAUUUCAAAUGGUUUAUAAUAAACCAUUUAUAAGGCAUUUACCGUUUAUGAAUCACUAUCCUGAACAUUUGUACACAUUAGCAAUCUGGUUAUGUACAAAUGUGUAUAUACUCCCAUAAAAUCCUGUGUGGUAUGCAUAUUCUUUGAGUAGGUACAGCUGGAAUUUCUAAACAAUGUUAUGCCCAUCUUUCUGUGAUAAGUAUUUAUUUAUUUCGGUUUUUUUUGGAGGAUAAAUAGUGCUAACUUUAGGUUAGGGGCAACAAAUAUGCAUUGCUUUUUAUUCAUAAAUAGUUUCUGAAUGCGUGAGUAAUGAUUAAUACAUGGUGAACACACACAUUAUUAAUGCCUUAUCAAUGUUUUGGUACAGAACCUUAAAAUGAAGUGUUACCGUCCUCCCCACGUGCUUCCGAAACAACCCACAGUUACCCUCUGUUUGGCAGAUGUCAAGGGGCCUGAGGACGGUGCAUUUGUGCUUCUAAUCAUCUUAAUCACACACCUGCAAUUAACCAGCCUUUGGUUUUUUUCUCUUUUGUUGAAUCUUAUUUGUGAUUUUAACACUGCUUUAGGCAUUUUGCUCUAUGUAUAGUAGAGAACAAAGGGAAAUAUCUCUGCUUUGAAUGUCUUACACCUGUGCCCAGGUGCAGCAUAAAUAUGAAUGUUAUUUAUUUAUAAUUUCUGUGUUGGAUGAUGUGUUGACAUAAUGAGUGCGAGGGAAGGAUUAUUGCGAGGUUUCUCCCUUGAAGAAAUUGGUUUUAUUUUGAACGUUUUAUUCUAGAGUAUUUUCAAAAUGUAAAACGCUUGAAAGAAUGUCUAGGGUUGCUAUGAAUGGACCAUUGUUCCAUGACCUCUGAGUAUGUUUCCAUUACUCAUGGGCAGAAUGCAUAAAAGCUUGUUCAAAGGUCAGUGCAGCUAAAUUUUGGCAGUCUUUGUGAAACCUCUCAGGUUGAUUGACAGGCUACAUAAAAGUAAAAAGUAAACGUGGAAACCAUGCUUUAGCAUAAUCACUCCUGCUGAAAAAAGAUAUCUAAAGCAGCUGUAUCCAUAACAAGCUUUUAUUUAAUAAGAUAACUUGAAUUCCAACAGUGCACAAUGUACAAAACAAAAUAUAGAAAGAUGUGAGUAUGGUACAUUUCUAUAAAGCAGUUAAAGAUUUGAGUUUUACUAUAAGAAUAACUAUAGCUCUGAGAUCAUUUGAUGAAUGCAUGCCUUACUUGGUGUCUGAUGUCUAGAAAACAUGUAUUUUUUACAACCAUAGAGGUGCACAAAAACUGGUCCAAAUUAUACAUUUUGAUUUAAAAGAAUAUAUAUUUUAAUGUGCAACCAAAUAUUCAAAAGUCAUCAUUAAAAAACUAUGGAAAAUACCAUUGCACUACUUUUUGAGUAAAGGUGAACUGUCCUUUUAAGCUUAUUUUCGUAAAAUGUUCCAGUGAUUGUAAAAGUAUAUUUAUAAUAUGAAAUAAACAGUUAAGCUGCUGAACAAGGAUGCUACAAAAGAAAU
ensembl:lncRNA